AAGGCUAAAACCCAAAGGAAUUGACGGGGGACCCGCCACAAGCAGUGGAGCGCCUGGUUUAAUUCGAUGGUCAGCGAAGAACCUCACCUAGGCUUGAACUGUAGCUGCACACUCCCAGAAACGGGAGAAUCCUUCGAGGGUGCUACAGAGGUGCUGCAUGGCUGUCGUCAGCUCGUGUCGUGAGAUGUAGGGUUAAGUCCCACAACGAGCGCAACCCCUAUUCAGUGUUAUAAUUACUCUGAAGACUGCCCUGUCCAAACGGGGAGGAGGGAGGGGACGACGUCCAGUCAUCAUGUCCCUUAUGUCUAGGGCUACACAGACGCUACAAUGGCCGGUACAAUGGGUUGCCAAACCGCGAGGUGGAGCCAAUCCCAUCAAAGCCGGUCCCAGUUCGGAUUGCAGUCUGCAACUCGACUGCAUGAAGUUGGAAUUGCUAGUAAUCGCGAAUCAGCACGUCGCGGUGAAUACGUUCUCGGGUCUUGUACACACCGCCCGUCAGGGCACGGGAGUCGCUCUUGCUCGAAGUUCCCGAAUAAUUCGGGACUGAAAGUUAAGGGUGGCAACCAGGCUUAAGUCGUAACAAGGUAACCAAGGGCGAA
rnacentral:rRNA from 1 species